AAAAGAAAAAGGAGAGAGAGACAGAGAGGGAGGGAGAGAUCGAAGCAAGAAAAAGAAAGGAAGAUGAAAAAGAAACGUAAAAAUCGAAGAUCUGAUCUUCAAUCGAUCUCGACAUCGCCAGGUACCUACACAGUAACAAGCUCACUGGGCUAAUUCCACCUGAAUUGGGGAACAUGUCCAAGCUAAGCUAUCUGUGAAGGAAAUUGAACAACAAUGAACUGGUUGGUAGCAUUCCGGCCGAGCUUGGAUAGCUGGAGUUGUUUGAAUUGUGCAUGGCAAAGAUUGAAUGGUUCCAUUCCAUCUGAAUUCCUGAAGCUGGAGAGUCUAACAUAUCUAAACUUCUCAUCGAACAAUUUCAAAGGGUGGAUCCCUGUUGAGUUAGGGCGCAUAAUCAAUCUUGAUACUCUGUCGGUUGCAAUGCCUUUGCUCAACUAUUGCAAGCUCCUCAUGAUGAUGCUCAAAUUAUCAUAACAGAUUGUUUCCCUGUCCCCAUAUUGGUUAUUUGUGAUCAGCAUGGUUCCCAGGUUUGUAAAUGUCUUUUGGCUUCAACUUGUGAAAUAGACCACUCUACUUUUAAUUCCUUA